rnacentral:tRNA from 1 species
ACCGGAGUCGGACGAUUAUAAGCAGGCUAGCUGCCUUUUAAGCAGUGGGUCCGGGGUUCGAAUCCCCGCCGGUA